rnacentral:rRNA from 1 species
UACGUAGGGUGCAAGCGUUGUCCGGAAUUAUUGGGCGUAAAGAGCUCGUAGGCGGUUUGUCGCGUCUGCUGUGAAAACUCGGGGCUCAACCCCGAGCCUGCAGUCGAUACGGGCAGACUAGAGUGCUGUAGGGGGAGACUGGAAUUCCUGGUGUAGCGGUGAAAUGCGCAGAUAUCAGGAGGAACACCGGUGGCGAAGGCGGGGUCUCUGGGCAGUAACUGACGCUGAGGAGCGAAAGCGUGGGGGAGCGAACAGG